CGCUAUCACUCCUACGGGAGGCAGCAGUGGGAAUAUUGCACAAUGGGGGAAACCCUGAUGCAGCCAUGCCGCGUGUGUGAAGAAGGCCUUCGGGUUGUAAAGCACUUUCAGUAGGGAGGAAGGUAGUGUAGUUAACACCUGCACUAUUUGACGUUACCUACAGAAGAAGCACCGGCUAACUCCGUGCCAGCAGCCGCGGUAAUACGGAGGGUGCGAGCGUUAAUCGGAAUUACUGGGCGUAAAGCGCAUGCAGGCGGCCUGUUAAGUCAGAUGUGAAAGCCCGGGGCUUAACCUCGGAAUUGCAUUUGAAACUGGCAGGCUAGAGUCUUGUAGAGGGGGUAGAAUUUCAGGUGUAGCGGUGAAAUGCGUAGAGAUCUGAAGGAAUACCAGUGGCGAAGGCGGCCCCCUGGACAAAGACUGACGCUCAGAUGCGAAAGCGUGGGGAGCAAACAGGAUUAGAUACCCUGGUAG
rnacentral:rRNA from 1 species